rnacentral:lncRNA from 1 species
AGGGGUGCUAUUAUGCUUUUUCACUUUUCAACUUUAGUUAGUCUGUAAUGUUGCUGUUUGAGCAUAAAAAAGAUCUACAAAGUUACAAAGCUCAAAGUCAACUUCAAAAGGAGAUCUUUUAUUUAACAGAAAUCACUUUUCAAAAACUACAACGAAUGACUCGUUUGGACUACAAUGCAUAUUUUCCAGGAUUUGUGAUAUCACAAAUAUUGACAAAUGGGACGAGACCUGGUCGAGCUGCACCAAAGAAGGCAACUAGUGUUUUCACUCUGUCAGAGACAUGCUAGCUUUCCCAGGGCAGAUGAACGUAGAGUGGUUACAAUCAUCCGGGUUUAAAUCACGCUCAAAUUGAUUUGAUUUUGACGCAGUAUUUACACUGAAGCUCACAGGCGGCUGUGGUAAGAGGCAUGACAUUUCCCGACCAGGGGCCGACUGGAGCCAAUCACAGCACACACUGGCCCAGCUAACCAAUCACAGCACAUUUCAUAUUUCAGAAGGCGGGCCUUCAUUUGAUACAGGAACUAUUCGUAAAGAAAGAAAAUCAUUUAUGUACAAUAAUCUGUAGUUUUCAUAUCCACUGUUAUUAAAUUACAAAUUAAAUAUACUAUUUAAAGCUCUAUAUAACUGUUUUAUUCAAAACAAUUUAACCUAAACAUGUCCUAUGUCAGUGUGUGAUUAACAACCAUGACAGACAACCAGUUUUAUUUAUAAAGCAUACAGUCUUAGCCUCUGUUUGUUCAAAUAUUUUGAAAAUGCUGGUGAAAAUAUACUGUAUUUGUGUCCUCAGCGAGGUUUGUUGGUUUUAUCCUGCAGUGUUUGUUGUUUGUAGUUGUUGUAAUUGUAAUUGUUUUUCAUUCUACACAGCACAUGCACAAAUUCAAACAGUUCAGACCCAAAAAGAAGUUCAGCGUGGAUCUGACGUGUCUUUGCGAUGUGAUGUCCGUCUUCUGUCUAAAAUCCUCCACAUUGAACUGGGAGAAAGAUGGAGAACACACACCCAACAGCACUCUGAUGUACAACAACUCUGCCUACAUCAUCUUACACACCGCUGAUGAACGCAAUAAAGGGAAUUAUUACUGUAGCUUGAUGGAAGAUGGAAGCGUACAAACUGUUAGGAUUCACACACUUAAUGUUACUUCAAGUUAGUACUUUUACGUUAUUAUGUUAUUCUUACAUUUACAUUACAUUUACAUUUAAUCAUUUAGCAGACGCUUUUAUCCAAAGUGACUUACAAAUGAGAACAGUAGAAACAAUCAGAUCAACAAGAGAACAACAACGGUAUACAAGUGCUAUGACAAGUCUCAGUUAGUCUAGUACAGAACACGUAGCAAGGUUUUUUUUUUUUUUUAAAUGAAUAUAAUAUGAUAGUAUUAGUUGGUUAAGUGCAGGCAAAAAAGAUGAGUCUUUAGAUGUUUUUUGAAAAUGAGUAAAGACAAUGAGAGAAUGCGCGCACUUAAAACGUGCUUCCUCUCGGUCUGUGUCAUGUGAACUCACAACUCUGUCUAUGCUCAUGCGCUAGAUAUUCAUUCUUUUCGCACCUUUCUAUUUCUAACAUUUUUUGUUCACAUCCUUUACCGUGUGCAGUGUGAAUGCUCUGAUCCAUUAACAUGGGCUCGGAAAAAAUAGAACCACCAGCAGUUCAGUCUUAGUAAGGUUGAGCUGAAGGUGAUGGUCAUUCAUCCAGCUAGAAAUGUCCCUCAGACAGGCUGAAAUGCGAGCAACUACCGUCGGGUCAUCUGGUUGGAAUGAGAAGUAGAGUUGAGUGUCAUCAGCAUAGCAGUGAUAAGAAAAGCCAUACUUCUGAAUGACAGAUCCUAAUGACGUCAUGUAGAUGGAGAAGAGAAGCGGUCCAGUACUGAGCCUUGAGGAACCCCAGUAGUAAGUUGUUGUGACUUAGAAACUUCACCCCUCUAAGACACCCUGAAGGAUCUAUCAGAAAGGUAGGAGUUAAGCCACUGGUGUGCGGUUCCAGAGAUGCCCAUCUUUCUGAGGGUGGAUAGGAGAAUCUGGUGAUUAACGGUGUCAAAAGCAGCAGACAGGUCCAGCAAAAUGAGUACUGAGGAUUUUGAAGCUGCUCUUGCCAGUCGCAGGGCUUCAGUAACCGAGAGCAGGGCAGUCUCAGUUGAGUGGCCACUUUUGAAGCCAGAUUGGUUGCUGUCCAGGAGGUUGUUCUGUACAAGAAACAUAGAGAGAACACAGCUCGUUCAAGUGUCUUUGCAAUGAAUGGAAGAAGGGAUGCUGGUCUGUAGUUUUCUAGAAGUGCUGGAUUUAGAGAUGGUUUCUUCAGCACUGGGCUUACCAGAGCCUGCUUAAAUGCUGAGGGAAAUGUUCCAGAGUGAAGAGAGGAGAUGAUAAUGUGCGUAAGUGAAGGUAUAACUGAAGAAGAAAUCGCUUGAAGGAGGUGAGUGGGGAUCGGAUCAAGUGGGCAAGUAGUAGGAUGACUGGACAGGAUAAGUUUGGAAACGUCCGUCUCUGAGAGUGGAGAGAAGGAGGAGAGAGAGUGCGCAUUAGUCAUUGUGAAGUUAUCCUCAGUCUGCGG